ACAAUAGCACUUUUCAAUUUUUAAAAUUCUUAAGGAAUGUUUAGAUCAUAAUCUGAAUUCAUGUAGCAUGGAGUUGGAAGUUCAAGUUUUCUCCUGUUUAUGCUUGGUUUGAGUUUAUGAUUCAUAAAAGUGGCUAGUUUGGGAAGUUGAUGUUAGAAAUUUGAGUUACAUAUGAAAUAAACUUGACAGUACUCUUCAUAUAAUAUAUGGUUUCCUUUCGCCAAUUAUUGGUGGAUAUGGCAAAAGAGAAAGAGAGCAUGCCUUGAGAGCAUGUUUCAAGCUGACUGCUGAAGCAUGUGGCUGCUUUGUGGCCUUCAUCAUCGUUUUGCCAUAUCUCUCUCUCUUCCUUUUGUUUUGUUUUUUUAAAAACUAAAUUUAUCUUCUCUAGAUAACAAAGUUCUCAUGCCAUUGCAGAUAACGAGAAUUCAGCAAUAUCCAUAAAGUUGAUCGGAAAAAACCAGGUGUUAGACCAGUUUGUUACGUACAUCUCGACUAAUUUCACAGGACAACCUGUAUAACCCUACAAUAUUUGAAUCAACAUCAAUGUUUUUAGAUGCAAGUUCGUAUAAGUUCUCAAUCCUAUUUAAUUUCUAAAUCAAUCUACAUUCAACAUCGUCAAUAGAUUCUUAGAUUCGUAG